rnacentral:tRNA from 1 species
GCGGACAUAGCUCAGUUGGGAGAGCGUCAGACUGAAGUCAACUUCAAUCACUUAAUCUGAAGGUCGUAUGUUCAAUCCACACUGGCCGCA